AGUACAUGAAUGGGAAUUCCUCCUCUCUAUACUUACACUCCUCCCUACCAAUUGCCGAGUCAUCAUCUCCAUAUUGUGUGUCCCACUUUUCAAGUUUCAUUGAAGUGUGCACAAGAUGUAAAACAAUGUAUUAGUUUUUUAAGUCCCCGGUCUAACAAGAUGCCAUUCAUUUAGGAGACUAAUAAUUUUUUGAUUUUAAAUUGUGCUAACGCAGUAUCGUUAAAAAUAAAACAUAUUAGAACUCAUUUUUGUUGGACACAAGAACAACUCGAGCAUAUUUUUUUUCGGGAGCCGAACUAGGGCUUACAAGUUUGCCGUGCCCCUGGGGACCAGUGCGAGGUUGUGUGGCGUGGAGGGUCCAGACACUCCCACAGCGCAGACUUUGCUAUCCGCACAGAGCGUUUCUGGUGUGUCUCAUGCAAAAGAGACAAUACAGCUCACGAGCGGAGGUCACGGCAAGAGUUCCCUGAGUUGACACGUAUGAACCAUAAAGUCAGUUUGGACUGAGGAGCAGUCGGACCCACACGGACAUCGCUCCAGACUGAAAUCCAGUUCAGACGACACACGCAACAUGUUCAAGCUUGCACGGAGGCCUUUCAGUCAAUGUAAGAAGAUGGUUAAGGCGAGAGAUUGCUAUUCUGUCUUUUACAUCGCUACAAAGGGAG